rnacentral:rRNA from 1 species
GGAAAGACCCCGUGAACCUUUACUAUAGCUUGACACUGAACAUUGAGCCUUGAUGUGUAGGAUAGGUGGGAGGCUUUGAAGUGUGGACGCCAGUCUGCAUGGAGCCGACCUUGAAAUACCACCCUUUAAUGUUUGAUGUUCUAACGUGGACCCGUGAUCCGGGUUGCGGACAGUGUCUGGUGGGUAGUUUGACUGGGGCGGUCUCCUCCUAAAGAGUAACGGAGGAGCACGAAGGUUGGCUAAUCCUGGUCGGACAUCAGGAGGUUAGUGCAAUGGCAUAAGCCAGCUUGACUGCGAGCGUGACGGCGCGAGCAGGUGCGAAAGCAGGUCAUAGUGAUCCGGUGGUUCUGAAUGGAAGGGCCAUCGCUCAACGGAUAAAAGGUACUCCGGGGAUAACAGGCUGAUACCGCCCAAGAGUUCAUAUCGACGGCGGUGUUUGGCACCUCGAUGUCGGCUCAUCACAUCCUGGGGCUGAAGUAGGUCCCAAGGGUAUGGCUGUUCGCCAUUUAAAGUGGUACGCGAGCUGGGUUUAGAACGUCGUGAGACAGUUCGGUCCCUAUCUGCCGUGGGCGCUGGAGAACUGAGGGGGGCUGCUCCUAGUACGAGAGGACCGGAGUGGACGCAUCACUGGUGUUCGGGUUGUCAUGCCAAUGGCACUGCCCGGUAGCUAAAUGCGGAAGAGAUAAGUGCUGAAAGCAUCUAAGCACGAAACUUGCCCCGA